rnacentral:lncRNA from 1 species
UUUUAUCUAUAGAAAAUGGAUGGAUAGAUUGAUAAUUUACCAUAUCAUUACAGAAAGUAGAUUAUUAAUUUCUAUAUAUAUAUAUAUAUAUUUAUUUAUUUAUUUUUCUGUUCUUAUAUUGCGGAGGACCAGGUGAUGUGGGCCACAACAAAAGUGGCCCAACCAAGAUGCGGACUGAACAGCGCUUCAUGCGCCUUUGUGGACAGCAAGUGCCGUCUGAUGGUUCUCCAUCCCACAUUUCUUUCUUUCUUUCUUUCCAAUAAUCUUUUUUCAGUUCCCACAUGUUUGAUAUGUGGCAAAUUUUAAAUCAGAUGAAUUUCUGAUAUAAGUUAUGUGUUGAAUUACUCAGCAGUCUUCUAACAUUUUGAUUCUGUGCAGAGAUGAAUUGAAGACUUCUCACACCAUUAUUGGGUGAAAUACAAAAAUUAGAUGGAUGAAGUUUUUUCUUAAAUAAUAAUUUUUCAUAACGUGAGAUAAGAGGGAACAUUCAAAGGGAGUGGUGAAUCCCCAGUCUUCAUACUCAUUAAGGAUAAAUAAAUAAAUCUAAAAUUUAUUAGCUUAAAUUUAAACCUGAUAACUUUGAUUGUACCCUCUCAUUCAGGGCUGGAUUUGACUAGUAUCCUUGCUUUCUUCUCUUCUUGCUGCUUUGGUGAUGCAAAGUGGGAUAAAUGUAGGUUCCCUCCAGCUACCAACAUUUUUUUCUUUUAGCUUUCAGAAGAAAUCAAUGUAGUCUAGCUUCUCUAUAAAAAGACAUGGAACGUUUGGCAAACCUCAUGCUUUUGGAUGGAGGCGCGCGAGGUGGUGCGAAUUUUGUGAUAUGAGACCCGCACUCCAGAGUGGUGGCAGCAGGUGGCUGUCAGUUGUUAGGCACGUCGGUUUUCAGGACAGAGUUACGAGCUGUCUGGGCGGAUCUUCGAUAUGCGAGGCAGGUUUUGCAGGCUGGCUCGAUUGUUUUGGAGAGCGACUCGGCCACAGUUAUCAGUUGGAUCCAGGAGGGGCUGAGGGG